rnacentral:rRNA from 1 species
GACGAACGCUGGCGGCGUGCUUAACACAUGCAAGUCGAGCGGUAAGGCCCCUUCGGGGGUACGACGAGCGGCGAACGGGUGAGUAACACGUGGGUGACCUGCCCUCAGCUCUGGGAUAAGCCUGGGAAACUGGGUCUAAUACCGGAUAUGACUCCAUGACGCAUGUCGUGGGGUGGAAAGCCUUGUGCGGCUGGGGAUGGGCCCGCGGCCUAUCAGCUUGUUGGUGGGGUGAUGGCCUACCAAGGCGACGACGGGUAGCCGGCCUGAGAGGGCGACCGGCCACACUGGGACUGAGACACGGCCCAGACUCCUACGGGAGG